rnacentral:rRNA from 1 species
AAUGAACGCUGGCGGCGUGCUUAACACAUGCAAGUCGAACGAUGAAAGCGGGAGCUUGCUCCUGCUGGAUUAGUGGCGAACGGGUGAGUAACACGUGAGCAAUCUGCCCCGAACUCUGGGAUAAGCGUUGGAAACGACGUCUAAUACCGGAUACGACGCGCGAAGGCAUCUUCUGCGCGUGGAAAGAACUUCGGUUCGGGAUGAGCUCGCGGCCUAUCAGCUAGUUGGUGAGGUAACGGCCCACCAAGGCGACGACGGGUAGCCGGCCUGAGAGGGUGACCGGCCACACUGGGACUGAGACACGGCCCAGACUCCUACGGGAGGCAGCAGUGGGGAAUAUUGCACAAUGGGCGCAAGCCUGAUGCAGCAACGCCGCGUGGGGGACGACGGCCUUCGGGUUGUAAACCUCUUUUAGUAGGGAAGAAGCGAAAGUGACGGUACCUGCAGAAAAAGCACCGGCUAACUACGUGCCAGCCGCCGCCGUAAGAC